rnacentral:rRNA from 1 species
AACGAACGCUGGCGACAGGCCUAACACAUGCAAGUCGAACGCCCCGCAAGGGGAGUGGCGCACGGGUGAGUAACGCGUGGGAAUAUGCCCUUCGGUUCGGAAUAACUCAGGGAAACUUGGGCUAAUACCGGAUACGGACUACGGUCGAAAGAUUUAUCGCCGAGGGAGUAGCCCGCGUAGGAUUAGCUAGUUGGUGAGGUAAUGGCUCACCAAGGCGACGAUCCUUAGCUGAUCUGAGAGGAUGAUCAGCCACACCGGGACUGAGACACGGCCCAGACUCCUACGGGAGGCAGCAGUGGGGAAUAUUGGACAAUGGGGGCAACCCUGAUCCAGCCAUGCCGCGUGAGUGAUGAAGGCCUUAGGGUUGUAAAGCUCUUUCGUCGGGGAAGAUAAUGACGGUACCCGAAGAAGAAGCCUCGGCUAACUCCGUGCCAGCAGCCGCAGUAA